AUUAAAGUUGCUGCGGUUAAAACGCUCGUAGUUGAAUUGUGGUCUUAGACAACAGUCCCCCUAUAUAGGUGUGGCACGGUUGCUCGAGAUCUUCAUUCGUGGUUGCUGUUGUUGCUCUUCAUUGAGUGUCAAUGGUGCCUCGAGAUUUUACUUUGAAAAAAUUAGAGUGCUCAAAGCAGGUUGUGAUGCCUGAAUAAUGGUGCAUGGAAUAAUAGAAUACGAUCUCGGUUCUAUUUUGUUGGUUUUCGAACCGGAGAUAAUGAUUGAAAGGAACAGACGGGGGCAUUCGUAUUGCUGCGUUAGAGGUGAAAUUCUUGGAUCGCAGCAAGAUGAACAAUUGCGAAAGCAUUUGCCAAGAAUGUUUUGGUAAACUAUGCCAACCAGCGAUUCGCCGAAGUUCAUUUAAGACUCGGCGAGCAGCUUCCGGGAAACCAAAGUGUUUCGGUUCCGGGGGAAGUAUGGUUGCAAAGCUGAAACUUAAAGGAAUUGACGGAAGGGCACCACCAGGAGUGGAGCCUGCGGCUUAAUUUGACCCAACACGGGAAAACUCACCCGGCCCGGACACUGAAAGGAUUGACAGAUUGACAGCUCUUUCUUGAUUCAGUGGGUAGUGGUGCAUGGCCGUUCUUAGUUGGUGGAGCGAUUUGUCUGGUUAAUUCCGAUAACGAACGAGACUCUACCCUAUUAAAUAGUGACAGUAUUGCAUAUUCUGUGCUGAUCACUUCUUAGAGGGACUGGCAAAUUGAAAGCUGCACGAAAAAGAGCAAUAACAGGUCUGUGAUGCCCUUCGAUGUCCGGGGCUGCACGCGCGCUACAAUGAAAGCGUCAACGUGAGUUACGUCCUUACCUGAAAAGGUUUGGCAAUCGAUUGAAACGUUUUCUUGAAUGGAAUAGGGAAUUGCAAUUGUUUCCCUUGAACGAGGAAUUCCCAGUAAGCGUGAGUCAUUAGCUCGCGUUGAUUACGUCCCUGCCCUUUGUACACACCGCCCGUCGCUACUACCGAUUGGAUGAUUUAGUGAGGUGUUUUGACUAGCGCCUGUAGUCGGAUGUAUAUUCGGCUUCGCGCCGGGAAAUUUCCCAAACCAAAUCAUCUAGAGGAAGUAAAAGUCGUAACAAGGUUUCCGUAGGUGAACCUGCGGAAG
rnacentral:rRNA from 1 species